rnacentral:ncRNA from 2 species
CUUCAUGACUCGGGGUGCCUACUUAAUCAGGCUGAGAAAUACCCGUAUUACCUGAACUGGAUAAUGCCAGCGUAGGAAAGUCACUCGCCUCACUA